GACGAACGCUGGCGGCGUGCUUAACACAUGCAAGUCGAACGGAAAGGCCCUGCUUUUGUGGGGUGCUCGAGUGGCGAACGGGUGAGUAACACGUGAGUAACCUGCCCUUGACUUUGGGAUAACUUCAGGAAACUGGGGCUAAUACCGGAUAGGAGCUCCUGCUGCAUGGUGGGGGUUGGAAAGUUUCGGCGGUUGGGGAUGGACUCGCGGCUUAUCAGCUUGUUGGUGGGGUAGUGGCUUACCAAGGCUUUGACGGGUAGCCGGCCUGAGGGGGUGACCGGCAAAAUGGGGAAGGAGAAGAGGCCAGGACUCAGGGGGGAGGAAGAAGGGGGAAAUAUUGAAAAAGGGGCGGAAGCCUGAGGAAGCAACGCCGGGGGGGGGAGGAGGGCUUUGGGGUGGAAACCCGGUUUCGCCGGGGAGGAAGGGGGAGGGAGGGAAUGGGGUAAAGAAAAACCGAAAAAAUACGUG
rnacentral:rRNA from 1 species